AAUAAUAAUUGGAAAGACCUAUAAUUAGACUUAUAGACUCUAGAAACUGAAAGCUAAAAAGACCUUGGGAAUGAUGCUGAGCUAGCACAAAGUGAAGACGAGGAAAUGAAAGGUCAGAAAGGUAGAAAAUAACCCUCUGGUAUUUGUAAAACUGCUGUACGUAUGGUAAGACCAAGAGCUGCCUUCCUUCCGCAAAAUCAGCAUGCAUCUGCCUGACACGGAGCUCACCUGCAAAAGCCACAAACCACAGCACCUAACACCUAAGAAGCUUUAGUUUUCUCCUCCAUGACGAAGGCUGUAACAAUCAGCAAAUGUAGGAACAAAAUAAGGGGUCUAUUCAGGCUCUUGGUAAGUUUGCUGACCGUGACCAGAUCAACAAAUAAGACUGGCCUCAUAUAGAUUUCACAAGACCAAGAGGAUGAGCUCCAGAAAGGGAAGACCUGUGCCCUCCAUCCAGCGUACCUAGAACAUGGCUUGGCUCAAAGUGGUUCGCGAUAAAAUAUGUUUGAUGUUGAACAGCUGGAUGAUGAAUUAGAUAACCUUCCAAAAGAGCUCAUGUUUUUUCAACAUUAAUGUACAUUCACAGAUUUAGAUAGAUGCCACUAUGAUGCUCUCAACAUCUUAAGGGAUUAGGAGAAAAGAUACACAGUGGCAAUGGCAACACAG